AUCGGUAGUGACGCCACCAUUUUUGCCAAGACAUUGAGCAAGACAGAGCAGGAUGUCGAUGAAUGUUCAUUCUCAAAUAUUUUGAUGAAUAUUUAAAAGUUCAUUUAGCCUAUUUCCACUUGGCCAAAUCAUCUGGUCACAUGUCUGGCUUGACUGCUGUCCUGCACCCUGCCAAAAUGUCCUCAUUCUCCAUUGCAACGUUUAACAGCCAGGUGAAGUUUGCGCUUCUGCAGUGCUGACUAACAUGGUUUGGUUGCAACCAGCUGUUGAAUGAUGUGGUGAGCCGGUGAGCUGCUUCCAUGCAGUCUGUAAUGUUGGUGUUAUAUCCUGAAAUGUGUUGGUUGUUGUGGACUUGUAACACUACUAUACUUAUUUGUCAUUUGUUGUGACAUUAUUCAGCAUAUAAAAGGUGGCAAUUCCAUCUCAUCAUGUGACCUGAAACUGCUGUACAUUUUCCCAAAAUCACAUGCAGAAAUACUUCAUAACACUGACAGUAAUUAUGUAACUGAGUUUAGAUUUUUCUAUUAACAGCACAGUGAAGUCUGAGCUUCUUCAUUUUGCAGUCCAUUGUGCACAUGGACUUGUUGCUGCCAGCUGGUGAAAGGUUUUCCUCUUGCAUGCUUGCUACCUGUACCGAUCAGAUAUCAAAGUUAUUCUGUUGGACUGCGUAGUUUUCUGUUACUCUUUGUAUUCUUUUGUUAUAAUGAGUAUGCAUGUGUACACAGUUGUGUUCUCGAAAAUAAUUUUCUUUUCUUAAACAGGUAUAGCAAACACUUCUUUAAAGCUGGUGGUCACCUUGUUGCAGCCAAAUGGUGAAAGGUGUGACGAAGACAGAUCAUUGAACCGUUGUAUGCAGCAUGCGGCUGCAGUGUAAUCCAGAAGUUGCUGUGCUCUUGUAGCUGAGCUGUUCCAUCUGGGUCCCUGAAUUAACAAUUUUUUUUUUGUCGUUUUUAUCCAUGCCAUGAAAUUGCUGUGCAUUUUGUGUUGCUGACUUUGCUGUGACUUGUUGCGACAUUCUAUUUUGUGCUGCUGACUUUCCUGACAAAAAGUUUGAUCUGUUGUCGUUUGAGUUUUCAUUCAA